AUCCAGCUGAAGAGUCUCAAAUAGGACAAAACGCACGUCCUGGAU
rnacentral:hammerhead_ribozyme from 1 species